AGAAGAGAGGUGAGUUGCACUCCCGAAUCCGGCCCCAGGCUGCUCCCCACUGCAGAAGCCCGGAGCCUCCCGGGAUUCUUUGGGCAGCCGAGACUCCCCCUGUCCUGUGCUCGGAUGCGUGGGUCCCCCUCCCAGCGGGGUGCUCUGGGGCUGUGUUGGGGGCCCCUGGGACCGUCUGGGACCGACUAGGAUUCCUGCAUUAGGGAGUACAUCACUUUGAGAAUAUCCCCUUCCCCCACCCCCUCCGCUACGCCACCCGUUGCGGAGCCCGCUCCUCUCCGCCUUCACCCCCACCCCCCUUACCGCCGGCAGCAGCACCCUGCUUUGGCCUCUUGGUAGCUCGGGGGCCCGGGACCGUUUGCUCGGCUUCACAGGCCGAGACCCCUCCUCUCUGGGUCUCCCUGGGUACCCUGGAGGGGGGAGGGGGACAUCGCAGAGCCUGUGCGUUGCUCGGGAGAGCUCAGCUCCAACCCCUCCAUUGCCAGCAGCGACCACCGGCCAGACUUGGCAGUUAACUUUCUGGGGCUGCGAGACCCCUCCAGGGGCCCCAUCUGCGAGUUGGGAUGGGGCAGGAACCCAUGGGUUCUUCAACCCGUGCAUUCAUUCCUUCUAACUACUCCACCCUGUGCUCUCUGCCUCACUUACACUGCAGUUUUUUUAAAGAUGGGAGAAUACAUUUUAUUUCCGGGGAAUCCAGGGUUGGCCUCCGUGUUGCGAAUUCAGGGGUGUCAUCUGUCUGGGGGAGGGGGCAGAAGAGGUUUUGCAUUGCAUCUAGCUCAGUGCAAGGGGGGAGGAAGAGGGAAUUGGCCCGGAGCAGGGGCUACCCCAGAGAGCUGCUUGCGGUGCACAGUGGGCAGCAGAGAGACCGGGGUGGAAGCAGGAUGCGUGGUUCUAGAGAUUCUGGAGGCUCCCAUCUUUUGGCCGAUGACUGGUCUAUGACCCAAGUCCAUUCCUGCCACUGAGAAAAAAAAAAUCACCAAGGCAAGGGGCAAAGGAGACACGCUGUGUGUCGCAAAGGUGGGGACUGGAGGCUGCGAGGGAGGUGGCCCGGGCUGGCCGCUGUUCCGAGCGGUGAUUGAUUAAUGCUGUC
rnacentral:lncRNA from 1 species